ACAUGUAUGGUACAAACAGUUAAUGCUUUUGGCUGCUAACCAAAAGAUUGGUGGUUCGAGUCCACCCAGAAGCA
rnacentral:tRNA from 1 species